AAAUAGCAAGAAAUUUAGAGGAAACAGAUACAAGACUGCAUGGCAUGAAGGAUUCCCGCAUGACCCUCCAGACCCUGGGUCUCUAUGUCCUGGCUCCGGCA